UCCGGGGAUUUCCCAAUGGGGGAACCCGCAUGGCUGUUGAGGCCAUGCACUGUUGAGUGAAUACAUAGCUCAUCAGGGCGAACUCGGGGAACUGAAACAUCUCAGUACCCGAAGGAAUAGAAAUCAACCGAGAUUCUGUUAGUAGCGGCGAGCGAACGCGGAAGAGCCCAAACCAUCAGGUGCGCCUGAUGGGGUUGUAGGGCCGUCAAUAAAGGAUAAUUGGAGAAUUAGCUGAAGUGUCUGGGAAGGCACGGCACAGAGGGUUAGACCCCCGUAAGCGAAAGUUUGAAGAUGUCCGAGACGGUACCUGAGUAGGACGGGACACGAGAAAUCCCGUUUGAAUCUGGGGGGACCACCCUCCAAGGCUAAAUAUUACCCAGAGACCGAUAGUGUACCAGUACCGUGAGGGAAAGGUGAAAAGCACCUCGAAUAGAGGAGUGAAAUAGAUCCUGAAACCCUGUGUCUACAAGCAGUGGAAGCACUACUGAUCUUCGGAUCAUGUGCGACCGCGUGCCUUUUGCAUAAUGAGCCAACGAGUUGUCUGUCGGUGGCAGGUUAAGUUUUUAACGAAGCCACAGCGAAAGCGAGUCCGAAAUGGGCGUUAGUCAUCGGCAACAGACCCGAAACCGAGUGAUCUACCCCUGUCCAG
rnacentral:rRNA from 1 species